rnacentral:rRNA from 1 species
UACGGGGGCGCAGCAGGCGCGAAAACUUUACAAUGCGGGAAACCGUGAUAAGGGAACACCGAGUGCCAGCAUCAUAUGCUGGCUGUCCAGAUGUGUAAACUACAUCUGUUAGCAAGGGCCGGGCAAGACCGGUGCCAGCCGCCGCGGUAACACCGGCGGGCCGAGUGGUGACCGUUAUUAUUGGGUCUAAAGGGUCCGUAGCCGGUUUGGUCAGUCCUCCGGGAAAUCUGAUAGCUUAACUGUUAGGCUUUCGGGGGAUACUGCCAGGCUUGGAACCGGGAGAGGUAAGAGGUACUACAGGGGUAGGAGUGAAAUCUUGUAAUCCCUGUGAGACCACCUGUGGCGAAGGCGUCUUACCAGAACGGGUUCGACGGUGAGGGACGAAAGCUGGGGGCACGAACCGGAUUAGAUACCCGGGUAGUCCCAGCCGUAAACUAUGCGCGUUAGGCGUAUCGGUGACACGAGUUACCGAGGUGCGAAGGGAACCGUGAAACGUGCCGCCUGGGAAGUACGGUCGCAAGGCUGAAACUUAAAGGAAUUGGCGGGGGAGCACCACAACAGGUGGAGCCUGCGGUUUAAUUGGACUCAACGCCGGGAAGCUCACCGGAUAAGACAGCAGAAUGAUUGCCGGGCUGAAGACUCUGCAUGACUAGCUGAGAGGAGGUGCAUGGCCGUCGUCAGUUCGUACUGUGAAGCAUCCUGUUAGUCAGGCAACGAGCAAGACCCACGCCAACAGUUGCCAGCAUGGUCUCCGGACUGAUGGGGACACUGUUGGGACCGCCUCUGCUAAAGAGGAGGAAGGAAUGGGCAACGGUAGGUCAGCAUGCCCCGAAUUAUCCGGGCUACACGCGGGCUACAAUGGGCAGGACAACGGGCAUCGACACCGAAAGGUGAAGGCAAUCUCCUAAACCUGUCCUUAGUUCGGAUUGUGGGCUGCAACUCGCCCACAUGAAGCUGGAAUCUGUAGUAAUCGCGUUUCAAAAUAACGCGGUGAAUUUGUCCCUGCUCCUUGCACACACCGCCCGUCAAACCACCCGAGUGGGGUUUGGAUGAGGUUGCGGUUGUUGCCGCAGUCGAAUCUAGGUUCCGCAAGGGGGGUUAAGUCGUAACAAGGUAGCCGUA